AGGAGGCUGAAGAACCAAUAACAGGAUUUGGGGAACAAAACAGAACCAGAACAGAGUUAGGGGCCAGUGAGAGGGUUUGCAACAGCACAAACAUCUCAGCACAAGAUGCUGGAGGGCAGAGAGUGAACAUGCUGUCCAUGACUGUGCUGGGUUUGAGAGUCCUGCUGGCAAAGAGCAUCGCCUUCAAUGCCCUCAUGAGCAUCAAGUUGUUUCUUUUCUGAGACAUGGGGAAUGAACCCAAAGAAGAGCAGGAAACAACGUGAACCAGCAGCACAAGGGGGCUGAACAAGCAGGGCCAGAGCUGCUGACAGAGACCAGCCAGGACACGAGGCAGCACCUUCCCCUGAAGACACGCAACACUCUGCACUCCUGCUGGCCAGCUGAUUUACACUGAAGAGUUUUAAGUGCUUUUGCUGUUUCCUCUCCUCUGAACACUGAGGAGAGUGGAUUUAUCCUCAUCCUCCUGCUAAGCAGAUCCCCCCACUCUUCUGGGAUUUGCACACCAGAGUCCAACCUGCUUCUGUAGCUUUGAAAACUCCAGUGCCCACUGCAGAUAGAUGGCCUUUGCAAAGCACCUUUCCCAGGCAUGUUGUGUUACUGCCUGUGGAACUGGAGCAGCACUGCUGGGGGACUUCCAGCACAGGAGCUUAGGGUUUUAGAUAAUUUAAAUAUCCAAAAGUGUGUAUUGCAGAUAAGAAGACCUGUGUAGAAUCUGG